rnacentral:lncRNA from 1 species
CUUCCACCUCAGCUCUGGAGAAGCUAAGAUUACAGAUAUGCACUACCAUGCCCAGCCCCAGCAUUAGGUCACUUUUUGACCAACAGCAUUCAAAGAGAAACCAUCCUAUUAGCAGCUUGGAGGACAGGUAACAAAGAAGUCAAAUGUGGUCACCAGACUUUGACAAUAAUCCACGUAAGAAACGUUGAAGAUUGAUCUCAGAGACUGUGUUGAUGGAAAGAAGUGAGAAAUUUAUAAGGACUUUAGAUGAGAAUAACAAGACUUGUUUACAAAUGUGAAUGAUCGACAAGAAUUAUGCUGAAAGGACCCAUUUCCUGGUGCCUCAACUCCUUCUGAUGUUUCUUGUCCCCUGGAAAAAAAAAAAAACAGUGCGCAGGAACCUUUUCUUCAAAGCACGGCACUGUAGGUGGGGACUGAAAGCCUGCCAUUGUUUGCCGUUGCUGUCGUUUGACAGCUGAUACAGGUAAUUUGGUCAUGCUACUAGGCUGCUUCAUUAUCCAGAAUACAUUGAUUUUAUCAUUGUAUUAACAGUAUGUCAUAUUUUUUACUGUUAAGUACUUAUGUGUGAAUAAGUAUAAGAAAAUGAUUGCUUCUAGGUAACAUAUAACUUCAGAGUCAGGAAUGAUCGUGAUGCCAGACAACCACAGAUUGCCUCAUGGGUGGCUGGGAUAGUGACACCUUUGUUUCUGAGGCUAUAAUGUUCACAAACUUGGUUUAAUGCACAAAACUAUUAAGACUGUUGAAUAAAAUUACCUACAGGCUAUGUGCACAAGAUGUAUAUAAAACAUAAAGUUUGUGUUUAGACUUGGAUCCUAACCCCAAGGUAUCUCAUUAUGCAUUUGCAAAUAAUCUAAAACUUAAAAAAAAUUAAAAUCUGAAACACUUUUGGUCGUAAGCAUUUUGGAUAAGACAUUUUUAACCUAUGCAAACAAAUGUUAUAAAGAGAACAAUAUAUUCAUUAAUGAAUAAUCUCUGAUCUCUGCCUGUAAAAUAAGGAUGAGAAGUUGUGAUUGGGUCACAAUCAACUUGACUGAUGUUGUUUAUACACACACAUACACAUACACACACACUCAAAUAAAUGCAUGUUAGUUCAAGGUUCUGGAGAUUGGCUUUAGUAACUGAGAAUAUUUAAUAAAGAGAUAGGGUCUUUAGAUUUUUUAACUUCUUUCAUCUCUGCUUCUUUGUGAAAAUCCUAUUAAUGUGUUUGUGGAAUAUUCAUUCAUUUGUCUCAGAAACACUUCUAAAAUUCAUUUGACACUGUCCUAUGAUUGUAGUGUAGAGAAGAGAAAUGAACAGACUCGUCCUCUACCUUUUUGGUAUUUGCACUGUCUAUUGAUUCAAAGAGAAGGUGGCCUAUUUUUGUUAUUUGCAUCUCAUAGCAUUUGUAUUCCACAUCAGGGUCUAAAUAGCACAGUUUGAAAUAUCUAAUUACAAUUUUUUUCUUUUUUUACUUUUAAGUUCAGGGUUACAUGUACAGGAUGUGCAGGUUUGUUACAUAGAUCAACAUGUGUCAUGGGGAUUUGUUUAAAAUUUGUUUAUAUUUCU